ensembl:snRNA U6 U6 spliceosomal RNA
AUGCUGGCUCUGGCAGCACAUAUACUAAAAUUGGAACGAUACAGAGAUUAGCACAGCCCCUGC